UACGGAGGAUGCAAGCGUUAUCCGGAAUGAUUGGGCGUAAAGCGUCCGCAGGUGGCAAUGUAAGUCUGCUGUCAAAGCGUCUGGCUCAACCAGAUAAAGGCAGUGGAAACUACAUAGCUAGAGUAAGGUAGGGGUAGAGGGAAUUCCUGGUGUAGCGGUGAAAUGCGCAGAUAUCAGGAGGAACACCGGUGGCGAAGGCGGAUCUCUGGGCCUGUCCUGACGCUGAGGCGCGAAAGCUAGGGGAGCGAACAGG
rnacentral:rRNA from 1 species